rnacentral:rRNA from 1 species
CGCGGCCUAUCAGCUUGUUGGUGGGGUAAUGGCCUACCAAGGCGACGACGGGUAGCCGGCCUGAGAGGGCGACCGGCCGCACUGGGACUGAGACACGGCCCAGACUCCUACGAGAGGCACCAGUGGGGAAUAUUGCACAAUGGGGGAAACCCUGAUGCAGCGACGCAGCGUGCGGGAUGACGGCCUUCGGGUUGUAAACCGCUUUCAGCAGGGAAGAAGCGAAAGUGACGGUACCUGCAGAAGAAGUACCGGCUAACUACGUGCCAGCAGCCGCGGUAAUACGUAGGGUACGAGCGUUGUCCGGAAUUAUUGGGCGUAAAGAGCUCGUAGGUGGUUGGUCACGUCUGCUGUGGAAACGCAACGCUUAACGUUGCGCGUGCAGUGGGUACGGGCUGACUAGAGUGCAGUAGGGGAGUCUGGAAUUCCUGGUGUAGCGGUGAAAUGCGCAGAUAUCAGGAGGAACACCGGUGGCGAAGGCGGGACUCUGGGCUGUAACUGACACUGAGGAGCGAAAGCAUGGGGAGCGAACAGGAUUAGAUACCCUGGUAGUCCAUGCCGUAAACGUUGGGCACUAGGUGUGGGGGACAUUCCACGUUCUCCGCGCCGUAGCUAACGCAUUAAGUGCCCCGCCUGGGGAGUACGG